rnacentral:lncRNA from 1 species
GACAGGCUUAGCUAUGACUAAAAGUGUUGCUGGGUGUAAGACUAUGGAGGAUACAUCUGUAUUCAACUUAGGGCAAGAGAGCAUCAAGCUUCAGGAAGGAGAGAUUAUGAUUGUUUUACUUGCUUUCAGAUAAUGGAUUCUCUCACUUCUUUUCUUUUCUUUUCUUUUCCUUUUCUUUCUCUCUCUCUCUCUCUCUCUCUCUCUCUCUCUCUCUCUCUGUCACAUCUAUAUAGAUAUCCAUUCAUAUAUCCAUACAGGAAAGAAGGAAGGAAGGAAGGAAGGAAGGAAGGAAGGAAGGAAGGAAGGAAGGAAGGAAAGAAGGAAGGAAGGAAGGAAGGAAGAUACCCCAAGUAUAAAUGGAUUCAAGCUACUUGGAAUUUGUCCAUAUGGAAUCAUCUUCCAGGGGAGGAUUUAAAUGGCUAAGGAAAAAGAGUCAAAAUCUCAACUUUGAGUUCUAUUCAUAAAGACAAAUAACUUUAAAAAACAAGAAAAGAAGUACAAAGGAUACAGAGAGAAAACUGUUUGAAAAUGAAAAAUUAAAAGCCCUAAGGAUGUAAAGCACAG